UAAGCAGCUCAACCAUCUCUGACCACUUAAUGUGAAAGAAAUCUAUUGAAAGGAUGUUGAAUAGUUGAAAAACAAAAUCACUGAGAAAGCGGAUGACCAGGCUAGAAAAUGGGAAGGAACCCAAGAUGAGCAGAACCCUAACCGCAGUCCUGCCACAGAACUGCCUAGUGCAGGACCUCAUUGUCACAGCUGCUGGGUGUGCACAUACCACUAGUUAGUGCUGGACACCAGAGGCCAGAGGUGGGGAGCCACAGCUGGUUGUCCCUGGAGAAUGAAUUCUGCUACCAGAGUUCACUGAAAUGAAUUGAAUUCGGUUCUCUCUUCUAAGCAUCACAUGCUCCAGAAUCAUAGCCUCUGACUGGCUAUGCACUUGCCUACAGGGAAGCAGUAGAUGCCAACAGUUGGCCUUUUUGGCCCUGUGUCCUAUCUAGACUCCUAUAGAAAAAUACUCCUCAAAUGUAAGAAAUGGAUUCAGAUGCUGGACAGCUGAAAAACUAAUGUGUAUCAGCUUCAGACUUCCAUCUCCACGGGGAAUUUUUUCCAAAGAUGGAUAUCUUAUUCUUUUACUGAACCACCCAAAACCAGCUGCAUACUGUUAAGAGCCCAGUGCAAAGUGAAAAUACAGGGACCCUUUCUCAGAAAUGAGUAAGACUAUCAAGAGCUGGACAUGGUAGCACAUGUCUUAAUCCUAGCAACUUGGGAGGCUGAGGCAGGAGGAUUGCAAGUUCGAAGCCAGUCUCUGCAACUUAAUGAGGCCCUAAGCAACUCAGGGAGACUCUGUGUCAAAAUCAAAUAUUUAAAAAAUGGUUAGAGGAGUCGCUCCGUGGUUAAGCGCCUCUGGAUUCAAUCCCUAGUACCAAAAACAAACAACAGACAAAUAAACAAAACCCCAUUAUCAAGAGCAACAGUAAACAUUAAACUAAAUAUGGGACCCUAUGUGACUAUAGAGGUCAACACCCAUGAAGCUGGC
rnacentral:lncRNA from 1 species